UACGAAGGGGGCUAGCGUUGCUCGGAAUCACUGGGCGUAAAGCGCACGUAGGCGGCUACUCAAGUCAGAGGUGAAAGCCCAGGGCUCAACCUUGGAACUGCCUUUGAAACUAGGUAGCUAGAAUUCUGGAGAGGUCAGUGGAAUUCCGAGUGUAGAGGUGAAAUUCGUAGAUAUUCGGAAGAACACCAGUGGCGAAGGCGACUGACUGGACAGAUAUUGACGCUGAGGCGCGAAAGCGUGGGGAGCAAACAGG
rnacentral:rRNA from 1 species